rnacentral:rRNA from 1 species
GAACUUAAGCAUAUCAAUAAGCGGAGGAAAAGAAACCAACAGGGAUUGCCCUAGUAACGGCGAGUGAAGCGGCAACAGCUCAAAUUUGAAAUCUGGCGCUUUCAGCGUCCGAGUUGUAAUUUGCAGAGGGCGCUUUGGCGUUGGCAGCGGUCCAAGUUCCUUGGAACAGGUCGUCACAGAGGGUGAGAAUCCCGUACGUGGCCGCAUGUCUUCGCCGUGUAAAGCCCCUUCGACGAGUCGAGUUGUUUGGGAAUGCAGCUCUAAAUGGGAGGUAAAUUUCUUCUAAAGCUAAAUACUGGCCAGAGACCGAUAGCGCACAAGUAGAGUGAUCGAAAGAUGAAAAGCACUUUGGAAAGAGAGUCAAACAGCACGUGAAAUUGUUGAAAGGGAAGCGCUUGCAGCCAGACUUGCCUGCCGUUGCUCAUCCGGGCUUUUGCCCGGUGCAUUCUUCGGUAGGCAGGCCAGCAUCAGUUUGGGCGGUGGGAUAAAGGUCUCUGUCACGUACCUCCUUUCGGGGAGGCCUUAUAGGGGAGACGUCAUGCCACCAGCCUGGACUGAGGUCCGCGCAUCUGCUAGGAUGCUGGCGUAAUGGCUGUAAGCGGCCCGUCUUGAAACACGGACCAAGGAGUCUAACAUCUAUGCGAGUGUUUGGGUGUCAAGCCCAAGCGCGUAAUGAAAGUGAACGGAGGUGGGACCCCGCAAGGGUGCACCAUCGACCGAUCCUGAUGUCUUCGGAUGGAUUUGAGUAAGAGCAUGGCUGUUGGGACCCGAAA